AGUCCCGAUCUACAAGCAGAGUGUGGUCCAAAUGCUGCGUGUAUCUUUAGAAGGUUUUUAAGACAAAGGGAAUGGCCCUAAAGGAGCUGAAAAGCGUGAGGAGACCACUCUAGACCUCAAAGGAGAUGCAAAGUUGAUGGAAGAUUAAAGCUGCUGAAAAUAAAGAGAGAAAGGAUUCUUUCAAGGCUGUCUCGUGAGCAUCCCCUAACACAGCAGAGAUAUCAAGUUGAUAAUAUAAAUUCAAGACAAAAUGCCUGAACACUCAUCAGAAACUGUCUUUUAGUUUGCAGAGAAAUUUGUG
rnacentral:lncRNA from 1 species